rnacentral:rRNA from 1 species
UACGUAGGGUGCAAGCGUUGUCCGGAAUUAUUGGGCGUAAAGGGCUCGUAGGCGGUUUGUCACGUCGGGAGUGAAAACUCGGGGCUUAACCCCGAGCCUGCUUCCGAUACGGGCAGACUAGAGGUAUGCAGGGGAGAACGGAAUUCCUGGUGUAGCGGUGAAAUGCGCAGAUAUCAGGAGGAACACCGGUGGCGAAGGCGGUUCUCUGGGCCGAUACUGACGCUGAGGAGCGAAAGCGUGGGGAGCGAACAGG